AACGAACGCUGGCGGCAUGCCUAACACAUGCAAGUCGAACGAGACCUUCGGGUCUAGUGGCGCACGGGUGCGUAACGCGUGGGAACCUGCCUUUAGGUUCGGAAUAACUCAGAGAAAUUUGAGCUAAUACCGGAUAAUGUCUUCGGACCAAAGAUUUAUCGCCUUUAGAUGGGCCCGCGUUGGAUUAGCUAGUUGGUGGGUAAAGGCCUACCAAGGCGACGAUCCAUAGCUGGUCUGAGAGGAUGAUCAGCCACACUGGGACUGAGACACGGCCCAGACUCCUACGGGAGGCAGCAGUGGGGAAUAUUGGGACAAUGGGCGAAAGCCUGAUCCAGCAAUGCCGCGUGAGUGAU
rnacentral:rRNA from 1 species